CCCUUAGAUGUUCUGGGCCGCACGCGUGCUACACUGAGUGGAUCAGCGGGUCAGGUUGCGCGAAAGUGUUUCCUAAUCUUGAAAUCCGCUCGUGAUGGGGAUUGACGGUUGCAAUUUUCCGUCAUGAACGAGGAAUACCUUGUAAGCGCGGGUCAUCAUCCCACGCUGAAUACGUCCCUGCCCUUUGUACACACCGCCCGUCGCUCCUACCGAUUGAGUGGUCCGGUGAGGCUUUGGGAUCUGAGCAAAAAGAGCGUUUCGCUCGUUUGGCUCGGAAAACUCAGUCGAACCUUAUCAUUUAGAGGAAGGAGAAGUCGUAACA
rnacentral:rRNA from 1 species